UCCGUUGUAGUCUAAUUGGUUAGGAUACUCGGCUCUCGCCCUAGAGACCCGGGUUCGAAUCUUGGCAAAGGAA
rnacentral:tRNA from 1 species